AUUGAACGCUGGCGGCAGGCCUAACACAUGCAAGUCGAGCGAGCGGCGGACGGGUGCGUAAUCUAUGGGGACCGCCCGUUAGAGGGGGAUAACUACUGGAAACGGUAGCUAAUACAGCAUACUAUUGGAUAACCCAUCUGGGAUUAGCUAGUGGGUGAGGUAAUGGCUCACCUAGGCAACGAUCCCUAGCUGGUCUUAGAGGUUGAUCAGCCACGCUGGGACUGAGACACGGCCCAGACUCAUACGGAGGCAGCAGUGGGGAAUAUUGCACAAUGGGCGAAAGCCUGAUGCAGCCAUGCCGAGUGUAUGAAGAAGGCCCUAGGGUUGUAAAGGACUUUCAGUCGGGAGGCGUUAACGACAGAGGAAGCACCGGCUAACUCCGUGCCAGCAGCCGCGGUAAUAC
rnacentral:rRNA from 1 species